UGGGGAAUAUUGCGCAAUGGGCGAAAGCCUGACGCAGCGACGCCGCGUGAGGGAUGAAGGCCUUCGGGUCGUAAACCUCUUUCAGCAGGGAAGAAGCGAAAGUGACGGUACCUGCAGAAGAAGCACCGGCUAACUACGUGCCAGCAGCCGCGGUAAUACGUAGGGUGCAAGCGUUGUCCGGAAUUAUUGGGCGUAAAGAGCUCGUAGGCGGUCUGUCGCGUCUGCUGUGAAAACUCAGGGCUUAACCCUGAGCUUGCAGUGGGUACGGGCAGACUAGAGUGCGGUAGGGGAGACUGGAAUUCCUGGUGUAGCGGUGAAAUGCGCAGAUAUCAGGAGGAACACCGGUGGCGAAGGCGGGUCUCUGGGCCGUAACUGACGCUGAGGAGCGAAAGCAUGGGGAGCGAACAG
rnacentral:rRNA from 1 species